CACAUCUUCGUGACGAAUUGGAAGGAGAACUACGCUCCCAGCUGAAGCGUCAGGCAGCUGCCCAUAGUGACCACUUGGCUGAUGUUUUAUAUGUUCAAGAAAAAGAAUUAGAGGCCAAAUGAUUAUCGUAAACUUGUGGAAGCUGGCCGGGAAGAGUUUGAAGCGGAGGUCAGAUCACUUUUACCUGAAGUGAAAUUAGGGGAAACAAGUGACAAAUUAACACCAGAUGAACUGAAUCUGCUUAUUGCUCAUGCCCACCGCAAGGUCCUACAACUCCAGAAGCAAGUUGCCCGCCAACAGACCUUGGAACAUGAUCGCUUUAAAGAAGCAUUAGCAACACAACGUGAGGAGGACGCCAAACUACUAGAAAAAAAAAUUAAUACCAAAUUAGAAAGACAAAAACAGCAGCUGGAAGUGGAAUACAAGUCUCAAUCAGUACGCUAU